GCGCCUGCGCAGGCUGGAAAGCGGCUGCAACAUCUUUAAGCUGUUUCUUUCCGGGUCCAGUGCCUGCUGCGAGCAACGCGCUGUUCUAGGGGCGAAGCCAAGAACUACUUCUCGUGGAGCUGAGGUUCAGCGGUGUGUGUGUGGGACACUCACAAUAAACAUCAUAAAUAAGUAAAUUCUAUAAGAGGCUGCGUAGCAAAAUGGAGUCUGCAUCCAGAUUUAUUGCGUUUCAAUCCCAGAUUUUCCACUUACUAGCUGUGUUACCCCGAGAAAAUUGCUUUAUCCUUCUGUGCUUCACUUUCCUCCUCAGUUAAAUGAGGAUCAUCAUAGUGUCUACUUCAGAGUUGGUGUGAGAGUUGAAUGAGGAUACUCUCUGUGAGCCCAGCUGCUAUGUUGUGAGGAAGCCCAAGCCACGUGAGGAGUCUCCCAGAUAAGGUCCCAGCUGAAACCAGCAUCAACCACCAGAGAAGUGAGUGAACAUUGAGAUGAUUCCAGCCCCCAGGCUUUGAGCCGUCCCAGCUGACACCAAGAGGAGGAGAGAGAGAACUGUUCCCAUCAAGCCCGGCCCAAACUGUGAGCAACAUCGAUGCCUUUGUUUAAAGCUUUUGUUUAAAGCCAGUAAACUUGGGGGUAAUUUGUGAUGCAGCCAUAACACCUGGAUCACUGGGUCACAUGUGAAAUUUGUAUCUUGCUGUGGGUUGUGUAAAAAACCAUUGAAAGCCACAGCUGUAGUGGCAAGUCCUCACAGUAAGCAAAGAAACAGAUGAACAGAAUCAUUUUAGCCAGGAACACCUGCUACAGGGAAUAAACCAGGGUCAUAGGACAGAGUCACCAGAGUUGGGGCAGGGGAGGGAAGUGGCUUUAGGUUAUGUGGUCAGGGAUGGACUCCCUGAGAAGGGAACAUAUGAACUGGGACCCGAGUGAUGAAAAGGAAACAAAAAGGAAACAAAGCACCAGGAGAGGAAAGAGUAAGUUCAAAGGUGUUAAGCAGGGAAGAGCUAUGGAGUGGAUUGGCUCCAGAUCUUCCAGAAUCAAGAGAACUUGCCAGCAAGACUGGAUUCCAUCCUUCUCUGAGGAAGAGAAAGGAUACUUCUGGGUGUUUGGCCCAAACACCUGUUGGGUGGUGGGUAGUGGUGGUGGCACUGGUGGCCAAGGUGGGUAAGGGAGCAGGCUUGGAGGUGGAGGGCUGCGUGAAAUGGAAAGCUUGGGGAAGUUCCCAGUGCCUGGAGGCUGACCACGUGGAGCUAUCAAGAGGGUAGUUGCAGGGCUUCCCUGGCGGCCCAGUGGUUAAGACUCCGUGCUUCCACUUCAGGGGACGUGGGUUCGAUCCCUGGUCAGGGAACUAAGAUCUCGCAUGAUCCACAGCGUGGCAAAAAAGAAAAAAAAAGAAAAGGUAGUUGCUUGGCUAUGAGCCUGCAGAGACGUUUGAGCUGCAGAUAGAAAUCCGGGCGUCGUCAGGGUGCAGCCAAUAUCAGAUGACAACUCUCCUGGGGGAGAGUACGGAGAGGACAAGGUCUGAGGACUAAGUUCUGAGACCCACCAAUUGCAGACGUUGGAGAAGAGAGGAGAAGCCGGCCAGAUAGAGAAGGCACAGCCAGGGAGAGAGGAGAGAAACUACAACAGAGGCGUCAAGAUUUCCACUGACCAUCCAGAAUCUGACAGGUCCCCAAGCCCAAGCCUGGAGCCACCUUCCUCCUUAGAGCUUACUUUCAUGGGAUAAUUUUUGCCAAGACCCCAGGGACUGUUCAUGUUGUAAUAUUUUGACAGCGAUCAUGGAGCUGGGGACACCCUAAGACUAAUAUAUUUAUUUAGUCUUCCCCGAGUCACAGAUUCCUUUGAAAUCUAAUGAGAGCAACGAGACAGGCUCUUCUUUGAAAAACGUACCCAACAGGCACACAUUUUUGGAUUUCAGGACCCCAGAAGGCCAUCCCCAGAUGUUCAGGUUAAGAAGCUCCACAGCCUUUAUCUCAUAGGAUGGCUAGCAGAUGUAUAAGUGAUGACACCUUAGUUGUUUCCUGCAGAAAUGUCGGUGUCGGGGCAUGGAGCUGGGUCCCCAGAGUCAGCGCUUAUGGCAUCGCUCACCCUCCUGUUCGCUGAGCAUUUGAUGCUGAGAUUGCUCUGUCACCAUCAGCUACGUGACCUUUGGUGGCAGGGGCUGGCCUUCUCUGUGCCUAAAGGCGGGCACAGUGCUGAGUGAAAUGAAGAAGAGAUAAGACCAUGGGUUCCGUUUCUGGCUCUGCAGUUCACCUAUGACCGUGGCAAGUUCUUAACCUUUCUAAGUCAUGGGCUAAUGAUAGCUCUCUUAUCAGCUGGGAAAGGUUUUUCAAGAGUUAAGCCAUUCCAGGUUGCACAACCAGAGCCUGAAAUAUAUAAAUGCUCCUGUCAAAAAGGCCACUCACCUCACUUCCAAAAAAUAAAGAGAGAACCACUCACAGCCAUUAGGAUGGCUACUAUUAAAAAAAAAAAAUCAGAAAAUAACAGUUGUUGGUGAGGACAUGGAAAAACUGGUUGGUGGGAAUGUAAAUUGGUGCAACUGCCCCGGAAAAAACACUGGCUAUUCCUCAAAAUACUGAAAACAGAACUACUGUAUGACCCAGCAGUUGUACUUCUAGGUAUAUACCCCCCAGAUUGAAAGCUGGGACUUGAAGAUGUUUGUAUAACCAGCAUGAUUGAUAAUAGCCAAAAGGUGGAAGCAACCAAGUGUCCACUGAUGGAUGAAUGGAUAAAUAAAACGUGGUGCAUGCAAACAGUGGAACAGUAUUCAGUCUUUAAGUAAGGAAAUUCUGCCACAUGCUACAAUGUGGAUGAAGCUUGAGUAUAUUAUGCUAAGUGAAAUAAGCCAGCCAUAAAAAGACAAAUACUGCACGAUUCCACUUAUAUGAGGUCCCUAGAGUAGUUGAAUUCAGAGACAGAAAAUAGAAUGGCAGUUGCCAGCGGCUGGGUGUGGGAGUGAUGAUGUCAGUGUUUCAUGGGGACAGAGUUUCACUUUGGGAAGAUGAAAAGAGUUCUGGAGAUGGAUGGUGGAGAUCGUUGCACAACGAUGUGAAUGUACUUAAUGGCACUGAACUGCACGGUUAAAAAUAGUUUAGAUGGUAAAUGUUUUGUUAUGUAUAUUUUGCCACAAAAAUAGACAUAUAUUUUUUUCAGACAUAUAUUUUUUUCAUGCACAAUUUCUAUUCUUUUUCUGUAAUGUCUUUUUAAAAAUUUUUUAUUUAUUUAAUUUUGGCUGUGUUUGGUCUUCGUUGCUGUGUUCGGACUUUCUCUAGUUGUGGCGAGCGGGGGCUACUCUUCGUUGUGGUACGCGGGCUUCUCAUUGUGGUGGCUUCUUUUGUUGUGGAGCACGGGCUCUAGGCGUGAGGGCUUCAGUAGUUGUGGCUCGCGGGCUUAGUAGUUGUGGCUCACGGGCUCUAGAGCACAGGCUCAGUAGUUGUGGUGCAUGGGCUUAGUUGCUCCGUGGCAUGUGGGAUCUUCCCGGACCAGGGCUCGAACCCGUGUCCCCUGCAUUGGCAGGCGGAUUCUUAACCACCAUGCCACCAGGGAAGUCCCUGUAAUAUCUUUAUUGAAGUAUAAUUACUUUACAAUUUUGUAUUAGUUUCUACAACAAAGUGAAUCAGCUAUAUGUAUACAUAUAUCCCCAUAUGCCCUCCCUCUUGAGCCUCCCUCCCACCCUCCCUAUCCCACCCCUCUAGGUGGACACAAAGCACUGAGCUGAUCUCCCUGUGCUAUGCAGCUGCUUCCCACUAGCCAUCCAUUUUACAUUUGGUAGUGUAUAUAUGUCAAUGCUACUCUCUCACUUCAUCCCAGCUUUCCCUUCCCCCACUGUGUCCUCAAGUCCGUUCCCUAUGUCGGCGUCUUUAUUCCUCCCCUGCCACUAGGUUCAUCAGUACCAGUUUUUUAGAUUCCAUAUAUGUGUGUUAGCAUACGGUAUUUGUUUUCCUCUUUCUCUCUUACUUCGCUCUGUAUGACGGACUCUAGGUCCAUCCACCUCAUUACAAAUAACUCAAUUUCAUUCCUUUUUGUAGACAUGUAUUUUUAAAAAGCAAAGCAAGACACUGGGUUUGGAGGGUGGGGAAUGGGGUCUUAAGCAUGAGCUGAACAGGGUAACAAAGAUGAUGAAAUAAAUGGUCCUGGGUGAUUGCUUGUGAGAAACAAUUUUUUAAAAAUUUAAUUUAAUUUAUUUAUAUUUUGGCCACGCCACGUGGCUUGUGGGAUCUUAGUUCCCCGACCAGGGAUGGAACCCGGGCCAUGGCAGUGAAAGCACCGAGUCCUAACCACUGGACCACCAGGGAGCGUCCAAACAAUUUUUUUCUUUUUAAUUUCCGAAAGGCCCCUUCUUGGCUCACAGACCCUUCUGGAAAACUGACAAGAUCAGUGGACCUUCCACUUAGAAAUAUACAACUUUGUGUAAAAUUUCUGGGACUUCCUAUAACCUCUGAAAACCACCCGUUAUCUCCUGGUUGAACAGUCCAGAGGAAAAACAGAGGAAGUGAGAAUCAGGAGAGCAAUCCUCCAUCAUCAGUCAUCCUUGGGGGAGAGAGAGGAGUGGCCUAGGGGCUGGGGAGCGUUGCUGAGGAUGCUCCGCUUCCUUUCCUGGAGCUGGUGACUCAUAGAUGUUCACUUUUCAAAAAGCCAUGGAGCUGUACACUUUUGUACACGACUUGUAUGCAAGUGGUAUACGCCACCUCAAUUAAAAAUAAAACAGCAAAACAAAGUAUUUUAAUAUCCAACCUAUAAGAAAAAGGUUUGGGCUUCCCUGGUGGCGCAGUGGUUGAGAAUCUGCCUGCCAAUGCAGGGGACAUGGGUUCGAGCCCUGGUCUGGGAAGAUCCCACAUGCCGCGGAGCAUCUGGGCCUGUGAGCCACAAUUACUGAGCCUGCGCAUCUGGAGCCUGUGCUCCGCAACAAGAGAGCCCGCGAUAGUGAGAGGUCCGUGCACCGCGAUGAAGAGUGGCCCCCGCUUGCCACAACUAGAGAAAGCCCUCGCACAGAAAUGAAGACCCAACACAGCCAUAAAUAAAUAAAUAAAUAAAGCAAACUGUCAACAAGUAAAAAUAAAUAAACACUAAAAAAAAAAAAAAAGAAAAGAAAAAGGUUUGACAGGAGAUUCUGCAAAGUAUUGACAAUGGCACGCAUUGCUACCAAGUAGGACCAUGGCACCCUCCACUAUGCCAAAUGUUUUUGUAUUGCUUAAACUUUGUGUUUUACAAUCACUAUAAAUUCUUUUGUCAUGAGGAAAAAACAAUUAGUAAACAUUUUUUUCUGCCCACAGUGGGUUUUUUAAAAGUAAAUUUAUUUAUUUUUGGCUGCUUUGGGUCUUGCACGCGGGCUUUCUCUAGUUGCAGUGAGCUGGGGCUACUCUUCAUUGAGGUGCGCGGGCUUCUCAUUGCGGUGGCUUCUCUUGUUGCGGAGCACGGGCUCUAGGUGCCUGGGUUUCAGUAGUUGAGGCUCGCGGGCUCUAGAGCACAGGCUCAGUAGUUGUGCCGCACGGGCUUAGUAGCUCUGUGGCAUGUGGGCUCUUCCCGGACAAGGGCUCGAACCCAUGUGCCCUGCAUUGGCAGGCGGAUUCUUAACCACUGCACCACCAGGGGAGUCCCACCCACAAUGGGUUUGAUUAGAACUUUCUGCCACAGUGGCAGUGUUCUGUAUCUCUGCAGCCCAAUAGGGCAGCCACCAACCACAUGCAGCUACUGACCAUGAAUUAAUUACAGUUGAUUUCCAUCUAAAUGGAGAUUGCCACAGGUGGCUAGUGGCUAUAGUAUUGGAUGGUGCCAGUGUAGGGCAGAGCAUAAGGGCGUUUAUUGUAAUAUUCUUGUCACCUUUCUGUAGCUUGGAACAUUGUUCAAAUAAGUCCAUUUUAAAAAAAGAGAUCUAUUUUAGGGCUUCCCUGGUGGCGCAGUGGCUGAGAGUCCGCCUGCCGAUGCAGGCGACACGGGUUCGUGCCCCGGUCCGGGAAGAUCCCACAUGCCGCGGAGCGGCUGGGCCCGUGAGCCAUGGCCGCUGAGCCUGCACGUACGGAACCUGUGCUCCGCAACGGGAGAGGCCACCACAGUGAGAGGCCCGCGUACCGCAAAAAAAAAUAAAAAAGAGAUCUAUUUUAAAACUUCAAGAGUAGUACAGUAACAAAGACCAGACACAGAUGCUUUGGCAUAAUCAUAAGGUAGCUUUAUUAAAUUCCUUUACUUUCUAAAAAACGAUUACAAAAAGGAAUACUUCAUUUAAGUGUAAUACUGUCUUUAUGGACGUACCGUGGUUGGAAAGUGAAGUUAAAGGUCAUGAAUACACGUGAGAAGAGAGUGGGAUCAGAGGCAGGACCCCCUGUAGCCUACCAUGCCAAGUCCAGUGGGUAAGCUGGGGAGAAGGGAACACAGGGAUAACUAUGGACUUAUAGGGGGUGUCAAUGAACUGCUUCUAAAAGCUUAAAAGAAACACACCCACCGGCUCCAGGGCCAGACACACAGGCACACAACGCUUGUACCGCUUCUCAAAGCUGCCCAAAGCUGUGGCCUUCUGUCAGUGGUCAUCCCCAGUCAGCUUGGGUUUCCUUUCCUCGCCAUUUACACACACACACACGCACGCACGCACGCACGCGCGCGCGCACACACACACACACACUGGGGUGUCUCUCUCCUUUGACCAUUUAAGCUCUCUUGACUUGGGUACCAUCCCUUCCAUCAAAAUCAAAGCAAGCCAGACUCCAUCAAGCCAGGAAACCUACUUUUCUAGGAGAGAAGCCAGCACUUGGCUGUACUGAAUGAACGUGUAAGUGCCGAGGGCUUGCUCUGUCCUGCUGGGGUUUUGGCUUCCACCCCAGCAGCUAGGCUGAGAACUGGACAAGAGAGGACAGGACACCUAAGAACUAGGGAUCUUACUCCCUGGUCACAAGGCACUUUUCGACGCUCGGAACCUGUCCCCUUUCCCCCCUCCCUUUUUUUUUUUUUUUUUUUGGUCACAAAA